AUCUAUAUAAAGAGUACGUGACAUCUCAAUAGUCCCACAUCGGAUAAUGUGGAAAAAUGUGAUGGAUUUACAAGUGACAGAUAUAUUAGUAAUAAUAAUUGGGCUUAAGCAUUUUUGCUUGAUGGUUUGGACCCAACGAGUUAGUAUUGCUAAUGGGUCGGAUUGUUAUAUUUGAUAUCAGAGCUAAUAAACGGUCGGAAGUGGUGAGAUGUAUCUCACAUCGCCUUGGGAAUCUAGGCUGGGCUGACGAUGAUACACUAAUAAUAAUAACUAGGCUUUAUGUAUUUUGAGUUAAUGGUUUGGGUCCAGCGAGUUAUUAUUGUUAGCGAGUCGGAUCGUUAUAAAAAAAAAUGCUAAUUUUCUAUAGAAUUUAGAAAAACG
rnacentral:lncRNA from 1 species